rnacentral:rRNA from 1 species
AUUGAACGCUGGCGGAAUGCUUUACACAUGCAAGUCGAACGGUAACAGCAGAGCUUGCUCUGGCUGACGAGUGGCGGACGGGUGAGUAACAUAUCGAAACGUAUCCAAUAAUGGGGGAUAACUAGCCGAAAGGUUGGCUAAUACCGCAUACGCCCUGAGGGGGAAAGCUGGGGAUCUUCGGACCUGGCGUUGAUGGAGCGGUCGAUAUCUGAUUAGCUAGUUGGUGGGGUAAAGGCCUACCAAGGCGACGAUCAGUAGCUGGUCUGAGAGGACGACCAGCCACACUGGGACUGAGACACGGCCCAGACUCCUACGGGAGGCAGCAGUGGGGAAUUUUGGACAAUGGGGGCAACCCUGAUCCAGCCAUUCCGCGUGAGUGAAGAAGGCCUUCGGGUUGUAAAGCUCUUUCACAAGAGAAGAAACGAUAUAGUUUAAUAGGCUAUGUUAAUGACGGUAUCUUGAGAAGAAGCACCGGCUAACUACG